CUUGUCUAGUGUUUUUGGAUUUAUCCCACUAUCCUUUUCAUAUACUAGUAAUAAAUACAUGCGUUGUACGUUUUAUGUAUCGGACAAAUGAUAUGUCUAAUAUUUUUAAGUACUAAUGAUCAGGGCCGGCCCUGAGAAUUUAGAGACCCUAGGCGUUUAAUUAUUAUGGGGCCCCCUCGACACAAAAUGGUUCAUUAUCUCUGUCAAGAGAUACCUCUUCAUUCAUCACACAAUAUUCUUCCUCAAUUGUAUUAUUUCUGUUAUCAUUCUCAUUAAAUACUUCUUUAGUAACUACGUCUUCAUUAGGUGUUCAUUUACUACAAUUAAAAAACUUAUCAAGUACUCCCUCUUGAGAUUUAAUCAACUUUUCAACUUUUUCUUUCCUUUUCCUUUUGGCACAUCCAGAUUCAAAUUUUCUUGUAGACAUAAUAAUAAACAAAGAGCAAUAAAAACCUGAUUGAUGAGUCCCCAAAAUGAAAGGAUUCAGAAAUUGGUGGUAGUGGUAGUCGCGUGGUGAUUGAAGUAGACAAUGCGGCUGUAGAGGUUGCGGUCGAAAACGCAGAGUCUGAUUAUCAAGCAAUUCCGCUGCAACCAAGAAAUGAACAAAACAAAGAGAGAAUAG
rnacentral:lncRNA from 1 species